rnacentral:rRNA from 1 species
UACGGGGGAGCAAGCGUUGUUCGGAUUUACUGGGCGUAAAGGGCGCGUAGGCGGCCACCGCAAGUCGACUGUGAAAUCUCCGGGCUUAACUCGGAAAGGUCAACUGAUACUGUGCGGCUAGAGUGCGGAAGGGGCAACUGGAAUUCUUGGUGUAGCGGUGAAAUGCGUAGAUAUCAAGAGGAACACCUGCGGCGAAGGCGGGUUGCUGGGCCGACACUGACGCUGAGGCGCGAAAGCUAGGGGAGCGAACGGG